rnacentral:rRNA from 1 species
GACGAACGCUGGCGGCGGGCUUAACACAUGCAAGUCGAACGGAAAGGCCCUGCUUGCGUGCGGUGCUCGAGUGGCGACGGGGUGCGGAAGACGUGCGUAUACUGCCCCUGCCUUUGGGCUAACUUUAGGAAACUGAGGCUAAUACCGGAUAGGAGCUCCUGCUGCAUGGUGGGGGCUGGAAAGUUUCGGCGGUUGGGGAUGGACUCGCGGCUUAUCAGCUUGUUGGUGGGGUGGUGGCUUACCAAGGCUUUGACGGGUAGCCGGCCUGAGAGGGUGACCGGCAACAUGGCGACUGUGAUACGGCCCAGAGUCCUGCGGGAGGCAGCAGUGGGGAAUAUUGCACGAUGGGCGGAAGCCGGAUGCAGCAACGCCGCGUGAGGGGUUGCGGCCUGCUGGUAGGAGACCGCUUUGGCGUGUGACUGAGCGUGUGUGAAGGUAAUGGGUAAAGAAGAACCGGCUAACUACGUG